rnacentral:rRNA from 1 species
CGCUAGCGGCAGGCCUAACACAUGCAAGUCGAACGGUAAACCAUGAGUAGCAAAUACUUGAUGACGAGUGGCGCACGGGUGCGUAACGCGUAUGCAACUUACCUCUAACUGGAGAAUAGCCUUCCGAAAGGAAGAAUAAUACUCCAUAAUAUUACGAUGUGGCAUCACAUUGUUCUUAAAGCUUCGGCGGUUAGAGAUGGGCAUGCGUCUGAUUAGCUUGUUGGUGAGGUAACGGCUCACCAAGGCAACGAUCAGGUAGGGGGCCUGAGAGGGUUAUCCCCCACACUGGUACUGAGACACGGACCAGACUCCUACGGGAAGCAGCAGUGAGGAAUAUUGGUCAAUGGACGAAAGUCUGAACCAGCCAUGCCGCGUGCAGGAUGAAUGCCCUAUGGGUUGUAAACUGCUUUUAUAUAGGAAUAAACCCCUUUACGUGUAAAGGGCUGAAGGUACUAUAAGAAUAAGGACCGGCUAACUCCGUG